UAAAAUAGUAUUCGUCUUUAUCCUUAUACUUUAUAAUACUAAUAUAUUGCAAUAUUGUCUAAUAUUACUCUAUGGCCCAAUGGCAUUUCUAUCGAUCCAUAACUGAGGCCCUUCUUCUAGCCUGCCACAUCCACCCAACCUUAUCCUGUUGCUGUAAAAAAAUCUUUCUGUCUGCUGCCCCGUUCUUAUCUCCUUCCCACAUCUACUCACCCUCAUCCGCUCACCCUCGUCUGCUCUCUACCUGCAUUGUACCCGCGGUCGCCUGGAUCCCCCGCAAGCAGAGGAGCUCCCAGCCAGCCAACUUGCAGAUCCGUUAAUCCGUUCUGAUGCUCACCAAGGGCAACAAGAUCCUCCACCUAGGACAAAUCUAAUUACCAAGGUAUAUCCUUAUAUUUUAGCUCCAGCCAUACUCCUGCUUUACAAUACACUGUCCAUAUAAAUGCUUUCUUAUUUUUUUCUUAUCCACAUAAAAUCGGUUGGAGGAAGGGUCUGAUAGGUUUCAUUUCCUAUCCCGAUACAUGCUUGGCUCUCCCGAUGUCCUCAUGAUAUUAAAAUUUCGUUUUCCCAUAGGUUCAGUACAAAGUUCUUUAAUUGUUAGUGCAUAUAUAUAAUCUAAAGCUCAGUGCUUAUUGUUCUUAAUGGAUGCUGUGUUUAUACCUUCUGCCAACCCUUUGGGUUUAUCUUGUGGAUCUAUUCUCAUGGAGUUGGUUGAGCUAUCCAGCACAUCACUGGCUGAAGCAAUGUUCGAGAAACUCGGUCUCCCUAAACCAGUGUACUUUGUGCAUCAUCUUUCACAAAAUCGAUUUAGAACAGAGAUUCAAUUUCAUCGCACAAAAGCACGGUACCAUGCUUCAGCGUGCCGGACUAAAUUAUCAAGCCGUAUAUGUCAGAAUGUGGUAGCAUCAAUGAAUCAUGCAGCCGAGAAGGCCAUCGAAUACAUGCAGAACAAAUAGGGUAAGGUGCUUGUGGACUAUAACUAUUAUCAACUAGAGCAAAUGAAAAUGGCACAUACAAGAUUAUCAGCCAGGUUGCUAGAACAGUCAGAUGAAAUCAACCAGCACAGCAAAACCAUCAAGCAGAUAACUAAAGAAGCAUGCAACUAUGUGAAGCAAGUGCACAAUGCAUCAAACAGAAUCCAAGACCUUGCUGCCGUUUUCUUAGACCCUGCUACCUCAAUGUGUGUUUCUAAUAUGAAGCAAGCUAUCAUGGAGAUUCACAGUUCAAUUGUCGCGCUUCAAAGCUCUACAACUACGACAUCUCAGUUCCUAGAGGAAAAAGGCAUGUACUCAGAUGAUGAAGUGCCUGAAUGGAGCUACAGUGGCCACUCAGAUGAAGAUUCAGCGGAUGAUAUUCAUCAACACAUAGAUGAUGACUAUGUCCCAUCCCCAUGAGCGUCAUAUUGAGCCUGCUGAACUGUCUCGUUGCCAUGUGAAGCUGUAUAUGUAUGGCUUCACCGCUAGGAAGCGGCUCUGUGUUUGUUGUGUUUAGUCUCCUAGGUUGCUUAAAUAAGAUGCGAAGCUGUCUACUCAUAGCUUCGGCCUAGAAAUCUUUAUCCUUUUUGAACUUCAAUCUGGACAUGUAUAAGUAUAAAGUCUAUGUCCUCGUGUUAAGACAGUGUUAUUUAUCUAUGCUACGCCUUUGGUUU